rnacentral:rRNA from 1 species
ACGGGUGAGUAACGCGUGGGAAUCUACCGUACCCUACGGAAUAGCUCCGGGAAACUGGAAUUAAUACCGUAUACGCCCUUCGGGGGAAAGAUUUAUCGGGGUAUGAUGAGCCCGCGUUGGAUUAGCUAGUUGGUGGGGUAAAGGCCUACCAAGGCGACGAUCCAUAGCUGGUCUGAGAGGAUGAUCAGCCACAUUGGGACUGAGACACGGCCCAAACUCCUACGGGAGGCAGCAGUGGGGAAUAUUGGACAAUGGGCGCAAGCCUGAUCCAGCCAUGCCGCGUGAGUGAUGAAGGCCCUAGGGUUGUAAAGCUCUUUCACCGGUGAAGAUAAUGACGGUAACCGGAGAAGAAGCCCGGCUAACUUCGUGCCAGCAGCCGCGGUAAUACGAAGGGGGCUAGCGUUGUUCGGAAUUACUGGGCGUAAAGCGCACGUAGGCGGAUAUUUAAGUCAGGGGUGAAAUCCCAGAGCUCAACUCUGGAACUGCCUUUGAUACUGGGUAUCUCGAGUAUGGAAGAGGUGAGUGGAAUUCCGAGUGUAGAGGUGAAAUUCGUAGA